UUAGCAAGCUGUACUAGUAUAGCGAAGUGGUUGAUGCCAUGCUUCCAGGAAAAGUCUCUAAGCUUCAGUUACACAGGAAUCGUACCCGAAACCGACACAGGUGGUCAGGUCGAGUAGACCAAGGCGCUUGAGAGAACUCUGCUGAAGGAACUAGGCAAAAUGGUACCGUAACUUCGGGAGAAGGUACGCUGUUGUUGGUGAUGGAACUCGCUUCCUGAGCUGACGACAGCCGCAGAAACCAGGCCGCUGCAACUGUUUAUUAAAAACAUAGCACUCUGCAAACACGAAAGUGGACGUAUAGGGUGUGAUGCCUGCCCGGUGCUGGAAGGUUAAUUGAUGGGGUUAGCGUAAGCGAAGCUCUUGAUCGAAGCCCCAGUAAACGGCGGCCGUAACAAUAACGGUCCUAAGGUAGCGAAAUUCCUUGUCGGGUAAGUUCCGACCUGCACGAAUGGCAUAAUGAUGGCGGCGCUGUCUCCAGCAGAGGCUCAGUGAAAUCGAAAUCGCUGUGAAGAUGCAGUGUACCCGCGGCUAGACGGAAAGACCCCGUGAACCUUUACUGCAGCUUGACACUGAACUUUGACCUUACUUGUGUAGGAUAGGUGGGAGGCUUUGAAGCUGGAACGCUAGUUCCAGUGGAGCCGUCCUUGAAAUACCACCCUGGUAAUGUUGAGGUUCUAACUCUGUCCCGUGAUCCGGGACGAGGACCGUGUCUGGUGGGUAGUUUGACUGGGGCGGUCUCCUCCUAAAGAGUAACGGAGGAGUACGAAGGUGCGCUCAGCGUGGUCGGAAAUCACGCGUAGAGUAUAGAGGCAAAAGCGCGCUUAACUGCGAGACCCACAAGUCGAGCAGGUACGAAAGUAGGUCUUAGUGAUCCGGUGGUUCUGUAUGGAAGGGCCAUCGCUCAACGGAUAAAAGGUACUCUGGGGAUAACAGGCUGAUACCGCCCAAGAGUUCAUAUCGACGGCGGUGUUUGGCACCUCGAUGUCGGCUCAUCUCAUCCUGGGGCUGAAGCAGGUCCCAAGGGUAUGGCUGUUCGCCAUUUAAAGAGGUACGCGAGCUGGGUUUAGAACGUCGUGAGACAGUUCGGUCCCUAUCUACCGUGGGCGCUGGAAAUUUGAGAGGAUCUGCUCCUAGUACGAGAGGACCAGAGUGGACGAACCUCUGGUGUACCGGUUGUGACGCCAGUCGCAUCGCCGGGUAGCUAUGUUCGGAAGGGAUAACCGCUGAAAGCAUCUAAGCGGGAAGCCUACCUCAAGAUAAGAUUUCCCUAGGACUUAUGUCCUCUAAAGAGCCGUUCGAGACUAGGACGUUGAUAGGUUGGAUGUGGAAGCAUAGUGAUAUGUGAAGCUGACCAAUACUAAUUGCUCGUGAGGCUUGACC
rnacentral:rRNA from 1 species